AUUGAACGCUGGCGGCAGGCCUAACAAAUGCAAGUCGAGCGAGCGGCGGACGGGUGAGUAAUGUAUGGGGUCUGCCCGAUAGAGGGGGAUAACUACUGGAAACGGUAGCUAAUACCGCAUACUAUCGGAUACCCCAUAUGGGAUUAUCUAGUAGGUGAGGUAAUGGCGCACCUAGGCGACGAUCCCUAGCGGGUCUGAGAGGAUGAUCAGCAAGACGUGGACUGAGAAACGGACCAGAGUACUACGGAGGCAGCAGUGGUGAUGAUUCAACAAUGGGAUAAAGGCUGAUGCAAGCAUGACGCGUGUAGGAAGAAGGGCAUAGGGUUGUAGAGUACUUUCAGUCGGAAGGCGGUACCGACAGAAGAAUCACCGUCUAACGCCGUGCCAGCAGCCGCGGUAAUAC
rnacentral:rRNA from 1 species